CAGUAGCCGCGGUAAUACAGAGGGUGCGAGCGUUAAUCGGAUUUACUGGGCGUAAAGCGUGCGUAGGCGGCUUUUUAAGUCGGAUGUGAAAUCCCUGAGCUUAACUUAGGAAUUGCAUUCGAUACUGGGAAGCUAGAGUAUGGGAGAGGAUGGUAGAAUUCCAGGUGUAGCGGUGAAAUGCGUAGAGAUCUGGAGGAAUACCGAUGUCGAAGGCAGCCAUCUGGCCUAAUACUGACGCUGAGGUACGAAAGCAUGGGGAGCAAACAGGAUUAGAUACCCCUGUAGUCCCUGUCUCUUAUAC
rnacentral:rRNA from 1 species